rnacentral:lncRNA from 1 species
UAAUUGGCCUCCUUAACUGGUCAGAAGUCACUCUCUUUUGGGAUUGGGGAGCCCGUCUGUUGGGACCCAUGAAAAUCUCCAGUGGAGCCGACCCAGCUUCUAGGUGCCCCGUCGUGACCUGGAUCAGCGCUGUGGAGUCAGGACACUGCAUCUCUGAGCUCUGGGACUUCAGUCUCCGUGAGCUCAGUACCUUCCCACCGCCACCCGAGGCCGGGUCACCUUCUUCUCCAGCCCAGACCUCUGCAGGUGCCUCCUGAAGGGACUCCUUGCUUCUGCUCUUAGGCCUCUACAACCCCUUCCCCUCACAGCCCGAGGGAUCUCUUUAAAAGUCGAUAAAUCACCUACCACCAUUCCCUAGCUCAAAGCUGUCCAAUGGCUUCUCAUCGGACUCAGAAUAAAGUUCAAGCUCCUCACGCCUCACAAGACCUCACCUGUGACCCCCUCUCCAUUCUCAUGGCCUUCCUGCUCAUUUCUUCCUUGGGGUCUUC